UGUUCGGCCUCACCAAGGAAAAGAGGAAAGAAAGAAAGAACAAACCCUAGUGAGCAAAAAUUCAAGGAAAAAUUGGUGGAUUUCAAGGAAUCAAGUGACAAAAAGUGGUGAAACUUUCGAUAAGGGUAAGGAGAUUGUACCCGAAGAUCGGGAUUAAGAGUACCUCGACUCCCGAUAUUGCUCAAGUUAGUCUAUAGAUAGUUGAUUUCGUCGAGGGCUACAGUUGGAUCUGCACCCUUAAAAAUCGUAGGUUUGAAGCCUUGUUAGUUUUGGUCAUUCGGGGCCCACACGUCAUUGUAAAUUAAAUUACAUACUCUGGU